AAAGUCGUAACAAGGUCUCCGUAGGUGAACCUGCGGAGGGAUCAUCAAAGAAAUAACAAUAUUCUAAACCCCAAGUGUUAGGGAAAGAAAGAGGGGGAAAGAGAGCAUUGCUAUUUUUCCUUCCUUCUUUCUUUUUCUAAUGCUUCAAACAAACGAUCACAACUAAAGAGAGAGGAAGGAAAUGGAUACUUGGUUUUUUUUGAAAGAAUAAGUGCUUGCCUGAUAAUCUGAUUAUUGGAAUUGGAAAGAGAAUAAAAUAUACAACUUUCAACAACGGAUCUCUUGGCUCUC
rnacentral:misc_RNA from 1 species